rnacentral:rRNA from 1 species
UGAGCAAUCUGCCCUUCUCUUCGGAAUAAGCGUGGGAAACCGCGUCUAAUGCCGAAUACGACCUCCUUUCGCAUGAUCGGAGGUGGAAAGCUCCGGCGGAGAAGGAUGAGCUCGCGGCCUAUCAGCUAGUUGGUGUGGGUAACGCCCACCAAGGCGACGACGGGUAGCCGGCCUGAGAGGGUCGACCGGCCACACUGGGACUGAGACACCGGCCCAGACCUCCGUACGGGAGGCAGCAGGG